rnacentral:tRNA from 1 species
GGCAUAGUGUGAGUAGGCCCUAAGGCGCUGGAUUUAGGCUCCAGUCUCUUCGGGGGCGUGGGUUCGAAUCCCACCGCUGCCA